rnacentral:rRNA from 1 species
CAGUGGGGAAUAUUGGACAAUGGGCGGAAGCCUGAUCCAGCAACGCCGCGUGAGGGAUGACGGCCUUCGGGUUGUAAACCUCUUUCAGCAUUGACGAAGCCUGGUCUUUUUGGGUUGGGUGACGGUAGGUGCAGAAGAAGGACCGGCCAACUACGUGCCAGCAGCCGCGGUAAUACGUAGGGUCCGAGCGUUGUCCGGAAUUAUUGGGCGUAAAGGGCUCGUAGGCGGUUUGUUGCGUCGGGAGUGAAAACACCGGGCUUAACUCGGUGCUUGCUUUCGAUACGGGCAGACUUGAGGCAUGCAGGGGAGAACGGAAUUCCUGGUGUAGCGGUGAAAUGCGCAGAUAUCAGGAGGAACACCGGUGGCGAAGGCGGUUCUCUGGGCAUGUUCUGACGCUGAGGAGCGAAAGUGUGGGGAGCGAACAGGAUUAGA